AUAUUGUAUAAUAAAAUAUUUCUGAAAAAUAUUGGACUAUAGCUGAGUAGGAUGGAGCCAAAAGAAGUUUUAGUGCAGAUUCGAAACGAUUCUGACAUGCAAAUCGAUCGUCUGAUUUUGGUACGGAUCGAACAAUCUAGGAGCUCGUUAGCUGGAGUACGUAAUAAAGCUGUUAUAUUCGGUAAAGCGAAUGAUUAGAGGAAUUGUG
rnacentral:ncRNA from 1 species